rnacentral:rRNA from 1 species
AGAGUUUGAUCAUGGCUCAGAUUGAACGCUGGCGGCAGGCCUAACACAUGCAAGUCGAACGGUAACAGGAAACAGCUUGCUGUUUUGCUGACGAGUGGCGGACGGGUGAGUAAUGUCUGGGAAACUGCCUGAUGGAGGGGGAUAACUACUGGAAACGGUAGCUAAUACCGCAUAACGUCGCAAGACCAAAGAGGGGGACCUUCGGGCCUCUUGCCAUCGGAUGUGCCCAGAUGGGAUUAGCUUGUUGGUGGGGUAACGGCUCACCAAGGCGACGAUCCCUAGCUGGUCUGAGAGGAUGACCAGCCACACUGGAACUGAGACACGGUCCAGACUCCUACGGGAGGCAGCAGUGGGGAAUAUUGCACAAUGGGCGCAAGCCUGAUGCAGCCAUGCCGCGUGUAUGAAGAAGGCCUUCGGGUUGUAAAGUACUUUCAGCGGGGAGGAAGGGAGUAAAGUUAAUACCUUUGCUCAUUGACGUUACCCGCAGAAGAAGCACCGGCUAACUCCGUGCCAGCAGCCGCGGUAAUACGGAGGGUGCAAGCGUUAAUCGGAAUUACUGGGCGUAAAGCGCACGCAGGCGGUUUGUUAAGUCAGAUGUGAAAUCCCCGGGCUCAACCUGGGAACUGCAUCUGAUACUGGCAAGCUUGAGUCUCGUAGAGGGGGGUAGAAUUCCAGGUGUAGCGGUGAAAUGCGUAGAGAUCUGGAGGAAUACCGGUGGCGAAGGCGGCCCCCUGGACGAAGACUGACGCUCAGGUGCGAAAGCGUGGGGAGCAAACAGGAUUAGAUACCCUGGUAGUCCACGCCGUAAACGAUGUCGACUUGGAGGUUGUGCCCUUGAGGCGUGGCUUCCGGAGCUAACGCGUUAAGUCGACCGCCUGGGGAGUACGGCCGCAAGGUUAAAACUCAAAUGAAUUGACGGGGGCCCGCACAAGCGGUGGAGCAUGUGGUUUAAUUCGAUGCAACGCGAAGAACCUUACCUGGUCUUGACAUCCACGGAACUUUCCAGAGAUGAAAAGGUGCCUUCGGGAACCGUGAGACAGGUGCUGCAUGGCUGUCGUCAGCUCGUGUUGUGAAAUGUUGGGUUAAGUCCCGCAACGAGCGCAACCCUUAUCCUUUGUUGCCAGCGGUCCGGCCGGGAACUCAAAGGAGACUGCCAGUGAUAAACUGGAGGAAGGUGGGGAUGACGUCAAGUCAUCAUGGCCCUUACGACCAGGGCUACACACGUGCUACAAUGGCGCAUACAAAGAGAAGCGACCUCGCGAGAGCAAGCGGACCUCAUAAAGUGCGUCGUAGUCCGGAUUGGAGUCUGCAACUCGACUCCAUGAAGUCGGAAUCGCUAGUAAUCGUGGAUCAGAAUGCCACGGUGAAUACGUUCCCGGGCCUUGUACACACCGCCCGUCACACCAUGGGAGUGGGUUGCAAAAGAAGUAGGUAGCUUAACCUUCGGGAGGGCGCUUACCACUUUGUGAUUCAUGACUGGGGUGAAGUCGUAACAAGGUAACCGUAGGGGAACCUGCGGUUGGAUCACCU